GUUAGCUCUGUAAAGUUGGUCGUUGGGUUAGGGUUAGGGUUAGGGUUAGCUCUGUAAAGUUGGUCGUUGGGUUAGGGUUAGGGUUAGGGUUAGCUCUGUAAAGUUGGUCGUUGGGUUAGGGUUGGGGUUAGCUCUGUAAAGUUGGUCGUUGGGUUAGGGUUAGGGUUAGGGUUAGCUCUGUAAAGUUGGUCGUUGGGUUAGGGUUAGGGUUAGGGUUAGCUCUGUAAAGUUGGUCGUUGGGUUAGGGUUAGGGUUAGCUCUGUAAAGUUGGUCGUUGGGUUAGGGUUAGGGUUAGCUCUGUAAAGUUGGUCGUUGGGUUAGGGUUAGGGUUAGCUCUGUAAAGUUGGUCGUUGGGUUAGGGUUAGGGUUAG
rnacentral:lncRNA from 1 species